rnacentral:rRNA from 1 species
AACAAACGCUGGCGGCGUGCCUAACACAUGCAAGUCGUACGAGAAAGUCGGCUUCGGCCGAUGAGUAAAGUGGCGCACGGGUGAGUAACGCGUGGAUAAUCUACCCUUUAGUCCGGAAUAACUUAUCGAAAGGUGAACUAAUACCGGAUGAUACCCCGGUUUCCUCGGAGACUGGGUUCAAAGAAGGCCUCUGCUUGCAAGCUUUUGCUGAAGGAUGAGUCCGGGUACCAUUAGCUAGUUGGUAGGGUAAUGGCCUACCAAGGUUAUGAUGGUUAGCUUGUCUGAGAGGAUGUUCAGCCACACUGGAACGGAGACACGGUCCAGACUCCUACGGGAGGCAGCAGUGAGUAAUAUUGCGCAAUGGGGGCAACCCUGACGCAGCAGCGCCGCGUGAGUGAGGAAGGUUUUCGGAUUGUAAAGCUCUGUCGAGCGGAAAGAAAUGCAUUAUGGCUAAUAUCCAUAGUGCUUGACGGUACCGCUAGAGGAAGCACCGGCUAACUCCGUGCCAGCAGCCGCCGUAACAC